rnacentral:rRNA from 1 species
AGUGGCGAACGGGUGAGUAACACGUGAGUAACCUGCCCUUAACUCUGGGAUAAGCCUUGGAAACGAGGUCUAAUACUGGAUAUUGACUUUUCCUCGCAUGGGGAUUGGUUGAAAGAUUUAUUGGUUUUGGAUGGACUCGCGGCCUAUCAGCUUGUUGGUGAGGUAAUGGCUCACCAAGGCGACGACGGGUAGCCGGCCUGAGAGGGUGACCGGCCACACUGGGACUGAGACACGGCCCAGACUCCUACGGGAGGCAGCAGUGGGGAAUAUUGCACAAUGGGCGAAAGCCUGAUGCAGCGACGCCGCGUGAGGGAUGACGGCCUUCGGGUUGUAAACCUCUUUCAGUAGGGAACAAGGCCAGACGUUGUCUGGUUGAGGGUACUUGCAGAAGAAGCGCCGGCUAACUACGUGCCAGCAGCCGCGGUAAUACGUAGGGCGCAAGCGUUAUCCGGAAUUAUUGGGCGUAAAGAGCUCGUAGGCGGUUUGUCGCGUCUGCCGUGAAAGUCCGGGGCUCAACCCCGGAUCUGCGGUGGGUACGGGCAGACUAGAGUGAUGUAGGGGAGACUGGAAUUCCUGGUGUAGCGGUGAAAUGCGCAGAUAUCAGGAGGAACACCGAUGGCGAAGGCAGGUCUCUGGGCAUUAACUGACGCUGAGGAGCGAAAGCAUGGGGAGCGAACAGGAUUAGAUACCCUGGUAGUCC